CAAUGGGCGAAAGCCUGACGGAGCAAUACCGCGUGAGGGAGGAAGGCUCUUGGGUUGUAAACCUCUUUUCUCAGGGAAGAAAACAAUGACGGUACCUGAGGAAUAAGCAUCGGCUAACUCCGUGCCAGCAGCCGCGGUAAUACGGAGGAUGCAAGCGUUAUCCGGAAUGAUUGGGCGUAAAGCGUCCGCAGGUGGCAAUGUAAGUCUGCUGUUAAAGAGUCUAGCUCAACUAGAUAAAGGCAGUGGAAACUACAUAGCUAGAGUGCGUUCGGGGUAGAGGGAAUUCCUGGUGUAGCGGUGAAAUGCGUAGAUAUCAGGAAGAACACCGGUGGCGAAGGCGCUCUACUAGGCCGCAACUGACACUGAGGGACGAAAGCUAGGGGAGCGAAUGGGAUUAGAUACCCCAGUAGUCCUAGCCGUAAACGAUGGAUACUAGGCGUGGCUUGUAUCGACCCGAGCCGUGCCGGAGCUAACGCGUUAAGUAUCCCGCCUGGGGAGUACGCACGCAAGUGUGAAACUCAAAGGAAUUGACGGGGGCCCGCACAAGCGGUGGAGUAUGUGGUUUAAUUCGAUGCAACGCGAAGAACCUUACCAAGGCUUGACAUGUCGCGAAUUUCGGUGAAAGCUGAAAGUGCCUUAGGGAGCGCGAACACAGGUGGUGCAUGGCUGUCGUCAGCUCGUGUCGUGAGAUGUUGGGUUAAGUCCCGCAACGAGCGCAACCCUCGUUUCUAGUUGCCAGCAAUAAGAUGGGAACUCUAGAGAGACUGCCGGUGACAAACCGGAGGAAGGUGGGGAUGACGUCAAGUCAGCAUGCCCCUUACGCCUUGGGCUACACACGUACUACAAUGCUACGGACAAAGGGCAGCUACACAGCGAUGUGAUGCAAAUCUCAUAAACCGUAGCUCAGUUCAGAUCGAAGGCUGCAACUCGCCUUCGUGAAGGAGGAAUCGCUAGUAAUUGCAGGUCAGCAUACUGCAGUGAAUUCGUUCCCG
rnacentral:rRNA from 1 species